UGUGUGGACAGGCAGGGCGCGGUGCUCAAGGCUUCCCAAUGCUCCUGCAAUGGAUCCUCCCUACCCAGCCCACAACCUGGCAACCCAGCGGCCAGCUGUUCUCUGCAGCUUUCUACUAUCAUGGACGCAGGAAACGGCGCGUUGCCCUCCUUCCCUGCUCCUUGGAUCGAGUUGUAAGGAGAACAUGCCCACUGUCUCGAUGGCUGCAGUGUGUGGCCACCACAGGUGGUGAUGAAGAUAUGGGUUUCCACCCAUGCUGUAGAUGGAAUGUUUGUGUCCUCCCGAAAUUCCUAUGUUGAAGCUUAACCACCAAUGUGAUGGUAUUUGGAGAUGGGCCUUUGGUGAGGAUGCAAAGAGAAAGUGGCUGCCUGCAAACCAGGAGGAGAGCCCUCACCAGGAACCAAUCUAGCUGACACUUUGAACUUGGACUCCAAACCUCCAGUAUUGUACAAAAUAAAUAUGUGUUUUCAAUGUCA